UACAGAGGGUGCAAGCGUUGUUCGGAUUUACUGGGCGUAAAGCGUACGCAGACGGCUUGGUAGGUCGGAUGUGAAAGCCCCGGGCUCAACCCGGGAAUUGCAUCCGAAACCACCUCGCUCGAGUGUGGGAGAGGGAAGCGGAAUUCCUGGUGUAGAGGUGAAAUUCGUAGAUAUCAGGAGGAACACCGGCGGCGAAGGCGGCUUCCUGGCCCAUUACUGACGUUCAGGUACGAAAGCGUGGGUAGCAAACAGG
rnacentral:rRNA from 1 species